GACGAACGCUGGCGGCGUGCUUAACACAUGCAAGUCGAACGUGAUUUUUAAGGAAAGCCCUUCGGGGUGGGAAUUAAAAUGAAAGUGGCGAACGGGUGAGUAACACGUGAGCAACCUACCUUACACAGGGGGAUAGCCGUUGGAAACGACGAUUAAUACCGCAUGAGACCACAGAAUCGCAUGAUAUAGGGGUCAAAGAUUUAUCGGUGUAAGAAGGGCUCGCGUCUGAUUAGCUAGUUGGAAGGGUAAAGGCCUACCAAGGCGACGACCAGUAGCCGGUCUGAGAGGAUGAACGGCCACAUUGGAACUGAGACACGGUCCAAACUCCUACGGGAGGCAGCAGUGGGGAAUAUUGCACAAUGGGGGGAACCCUGAUGCAGCGACGCCGCGUGAGCGAAGAAGGUUUUCGAAUCGUAAAGCUCUGUCCUAUGAGAAGAUAANGACGGU
rnacentral:rRNA from 1 species